AGAGUUUGAUCCUGGCUCAGAGCGAACGCUGGCGGCAGGCUUAACACAUGCAAGUCGAGCGCCCCGCAAGGGGAGCGGCAGACGGGAGAGUAACACGUGGGAACGUACCCUUCAGUACGGAACAACCAAGGGAAACUUUGGCUAAUACCGUAUACGUCCGUAAGGAGAAAGAUUUAUCGCUGAAGGAUCGGCCCGCGUCUGAUUAGCUAGUUGGUGGGGUAAUGGCCCACCAAGGCGACGAUCAGUAGCUGGUCUGAGAGGAUGAUCAGCCUCACUGGGACUGAGACACGGCCCAGACUCCUACGGGAGGCAGCAGUGGGGAAUAUUGGACAAUGGGCGCAAGCCUGAUCCAGCCAUGCCGCGUGGAUGAUGAAGGCCCUAGGGUUGUAAAGUCCUUUUAACGGGGAAGAUAAUGACGGUACCCGUAGAAUAAGCCCCGGCUAACUUCGUGCCAGCAGCCGCGGUAAUACGAAGGGGGCUAGCGUUGCUCGGAAUCACUGGGCGUAAAGCGCACGUAGGCGGAUUCUUAAGUCGGUGGUGAAAGCCUGGAGCUCAACUCCAGAACUGCCUUCGAUACUGAGAGUCUUGAGUCCGGGAGAGGUGAGUGGAACUGCGAGUGUAGAGGUGAAAUUCGUAGAUAUUCGCAAGAACACCAGUGGCGAAGGCGGCUCACUGGCCCGGUACUGACGCUGAGGUGCGAAAGCGUGGGGAGCAAA
rnacentral:rRNA from 1 species